rnacentral:rRNA from 1 species
ACUUAAGCAUAUCAAUAAGCGGAGGAAAAGAAACCAACAGGGAUUGCCUCAGUAACGGCGAGUGAAGCGGCAACAGCUCAAAUUUGAAAUCUGGCCCUAUCGGGGUCCGAGUUGUAAUUUGUAGAGAGUGCUUCGGGUGAGACCGCGGUCUAAGUCCAUUGGAACAUGGCGUCACAGAGGGUGAGAAUCCCGUACGUGACUGUGGCUCGAGCCCAUGUGAAGCCUCUUCGACGAGUCGAGUUGUUUGGGAAUGCAGCUCAAAAUGGGUGGUAAAUUUCAUCUAAAGCUAAAUACUGGCUGGAGACCGAUAGCGCACAAGUAGAGUGAUCGAAAGAUGAAAAGCACUUUGGAAAGAGAGUCAAACAGUACGUGAAAUUGUUGAAAGGGAAGCGCUUGCAACCAGACCUGCCCGUGGGCGAUCAGCCGCUGUUCUCAGCGGUGCACUCGUUCUGCGAUCAGGCCAGCAUCGGUUCUGGCGGUCGGAUAAAGGCCUUGGGAAUGUAGCUCCCCUCGGGGAGUCUUAUAGCCCUCGGUGCAAUGCGGCCAGCCGGGACCGAGGACCGCGCUUCGGCUAGGAUGCUGGCGUAAUGGUUGUAAGCGACCCGUCUUGAAACACGGACCAAGGAGUGUACCACUGAUGCGAGUGUUUGGGUGUUAAACCCAUGCGCGGAAUGAAAGUGAACGGAGGUGAGAACCCUUAAGGGCGCAUCAUCGACCGAUCCAGAUGUCUUCGGAUGGAUUUGAGUAUGAGCAUCAUUGGUGCGACCCGAAAGAUGGUGAACUAUGCCUGAAUAGGGUGAAGCCAGAGGAAACUCUGGUGGAGGCUCGCAGCGGUUCUGACGUGCAAAUCGAUCGUCAAAUUUGGGUAUAGGGGCGAAAGACUAAUCGAACCAUCUAGUAGCUGGUUCCUG